GAAUUAUCAAACUGAUCCAACUUUAUUGGGCUUGAGGCCCAUCAUGUCGCAAAUGCGAAUAAAUGAACAAUAUCAUAUAUCACGUAUCAAAUAAUAUCUCAAUAGAGAUAUAUCAGGUAAGUUUGUUUAUAUUUUAUUCUGUUUAUAUUUUAUUAUGUGCUAUUGAUCUCAUAUCAAUCCAAAGCCUAUAAAUAAAGAACUA
rnacentral:lncRNA from 1 species